ACACAAGCUAUCGCUGACUGCCGGUGCAUGUUGGAAAUGGGCCACAGGGCUGGGCAUGAUAUGAGCUGCCUGGACAUUGGAGGGGGCUUCCCCGGAAUGGAGGGCUCCGGGCCCAAGUUUGAGGAGGUUUUAGCACCUCUUACGAAUGAGUGUCUGAGCAGCCAAAAAAUAAAUAAUGAAUCAUCCAGGCAAAGGGGAAGAAAAAUGGACUUGGCCAGAGAUGGGGAAGAACGUACGCAAAAAGGUGAGAUGAGAGGGAGCCUAGGUAAUAUGACUUAUUACAAGCAGAGCAGCUCUGCGGAG
rnacentral:lncRNA from 1 species